UACGUAGGGUGCAAGCGUUGUUCGGAAUCACUGGGCGUAAAGCGUGUGUAGGCUGUGAUUUAAGUCCGAUGUGAAAUCCUUUGGCUCAACCAGAGAACUGCAUUGGAAACUGGAUUGCUAGAGUUCGGAAGAGGAAGGUGGAAUUCCUGGUGUAGCGGUGAAAUGCGUAGAUAUCAGGAGGAAUACCGGAGGCGAAGGCGACCUUCUGGGCCGAUACUGACGCUGAGACACGAAAGCGUGGGGAGCAAACAGG
rnacentral:rRNA from 1 species